UGACGACACAUUCCCUAGCAACUGCUAUGUCUCCACGGCAACAUCAUCCUUGUCCUGUUCUGUGGCAUCAGUAGUAUUACGGUCAAGCAUAAUGGUCAGUCACAGUAGUCUGUUUUCGAUAAUACAAUCUCUAAUAAAGAGGAUUGUAAUUGGCUUUGCACUGCACUGAUAGGUGUAGCGGUGGCAUAUAUUCUGCUGUAGUAGUAUGUAUAUAGAUUCGAUUUUUCAGGGGUAGAGUACAGUGAAAGCGCAUACGUCCAUUGAUGUGUAAGGCGGGAAAUAGGGGGAGCUGGAUUUUCGAAAAACUCGGUUGCGAUGCCAUUUACACAAAUACUUUGUCUCGAGAAUAAAUAGGGAAGCCUAUCACUCGCGUUUUUCACGUUUCUCCCGGUACCCAGAAAAAUAGUAUACAGGCUUGCGCCAUUUUCCACCUUGAAUAACUGCACAGCCGCCGGUUACGGUUCGUUCGGAUGGAUCCCGCCGUGCUAAUCUUCCUGCUGUAUAUGAUGAUUGCUCAUGAGAUGAUCUGCGGCUGGAUGCAGUACCGGAGGCAAGCCGCCAAACCCCGCAAACGCGUCAGACCAAUGUGGAGUGCCAGUGCUCGAGUUUGCCCUAGCAGCUGGCGAGUCAGCAGCCAGUCUUGCAGGGCAGAGAGAGGACGAGACUGGAGGAGAGCUGCUGGGAAGAGUGGACGGAUUGUCAGGAAGGCAUAAACUGGAAAAAGUAACUGUUCAGCAGAACUUCAGACAAUUCCGCAACCCCAAAAUGGUGUGAUGAAAUGGAAGGCCUCUUCCUUCAACAUUUACAUUUUUAAUGAGCUUGGUCUGCUCCAUGAACUGUUUGCUAUGAUUGGGCAGCACAUGGGCACUGGGAGUUGCUCAGUUAUCAAGUCUAAACCCCUCAGAACAGUAGCAUACAAUAUGAUGACAAGUGGGAAAACUGCACUUUUUAUGUAUUUAUUGGUUAAUUUAUAUUUUACAGUCACAUUAUAUCAUUUUAAAGUUGUAUUUGACAUUUUAUAAUGUUUUAUGUUGAUCAAUGACAACAUGCACUCUACAUCUGAUAUUUGGUAGAUACAAGUUGAUUUGUCUCCAUGAUAUUCAGAAACUGAGCAACAGCCUACUAAAGUCCAGGAGUCAAAUACAUUUGACUUAGUUUGAAAUGUAUUUCUAUAAUGUGUGAUUUUUUAAAUCAAUUAUUCUAAUUGCAUUCUGAAAAACAGUAUUGAUCUUAAAUUUUCAUAUACAUUUUAAAAAAUUAUUUGAAAGCAAAGCUUCUGAACAUCUUAUUAAACAAAAUUAAGCUUGUGACGUACUUAAUAUAGACUAACAGGCAUGACAUUUUGUUAUGUGAAAAAGAGGGGUUUAGGAGAGUCUGUCAAAUGCAUUCAGGAAUUGUGUGUCCAUUUUGUUUAGAAAUGUCUCUUUCAAUCAGAUAAAAAUGAAAAGUUCGCAAUACUGUUCGCAAUACUGUGUCUACACUCUUACUAAAAAUUAUUUUUUGCGGAGAAAUUGAGUUUUAACAAGAACUAUCUCAAAAUGAAAACCCUUUCUCGAGACAAGGGUUAUUUGUAUGUUAAAGGGUUGUACUUAAUAUCUUCAACAUCCUAGGACCUGAUUUUGUUAGAAAGGGUUAUUUGAUGAUUCUGUGGAAGACAAUAAGAAUUCUUUAGAAAGGAAAAAGGUUGUGCCUAAAAAAGUCUGCAACAGUUUUUUUUAACUCACAUUUCAAGUUUUUCUGUCAGCCUAAGGAAAAAAGCCUAACAAUUAACAAUUAAAAACAAAAACACACUUGAAACAAUAUCCUAACACAUGAUGAUUGAUGUUACCAUGCAACAUAUUAUGUGCCCCAGAAUAUAUGGAACUAUAUUGCUAGGACAUUCAUUCCUGACCAAGGUUGCAACUUUUAUGGUUACCAUGAAAUAAUGCAUAUAUUAAAUGUCUCCUGAUAUUUAUUAUAUAACUGUGUAAUAAAAAUAUUAGUACAAUUGC